UUUUUCCCCUUCAAGAAAUAUCACAGACAACAUGCACUCAUUUUCCUACUCUGCAUCAAUCAUGUGAAAAUCCCUACAAACUAACGAAUGGAUUUCCAAUGAUUUGUCAAUAAUCCAUUUCUAUAAAAGGGCACAUACAUGAUUAGACACAUAGAAGUUGGAUAAACCCAACAACCUUCCAUCCAAAGCCAAAAAAAUUGAAACCCAUUUUUGAGAGUUGUUGGUGCCUCAUCCUAUAACUGAUGACAACAUCAGGAAAUCCGGAGACGUCGUAGAGGGCCCCGGGAAGAGUUAUCUUUUAUUUUUAACCGCUUGCCCGCCUUAAAAUCGGCUCAACCAGAGAUAGGGUCCAGUAGCUGGAAGAGCAUCGCACGUCUUGCGGUGUCCGAUGCACCCUCAAUGGCCCUUGAAAAUCUAGAGGACCGAGUACCAUCCAUGCCUGGUUGUACUCAUAACCGCAUCAGGUCUCCAAGGUGAACAACCUCUGGUCAAUAGAAUAAUGUAGGUAAGGGAAUUCGGCAAAACCGAUCUGUAACUUCGAGAAAAGGAUUGGCUCUGAGGGCUAGGCCUAGGGGUCUGCGUCCUCAACUCGUGGGUUGUCGGUAGUUUGCCCGAGUUGCUAUCGAGGUAAGGGCGGGUAGUCGCGUGCUAAUUGGGCUACGAACGUAGGGUGUCCCCUCGCGGGGGAUUUUCCCUAGGCGGUGAACAGUCGACUCAGAACUGGUACGAACAAGGGGAAUCCGACUGUUUAAUUAAAACAAAUCAUUGUGAUGGUCCCUGUGGAUGUUGAUGCAAUGUGAUUUAUGCCCAAUGCUCUGAAUGUCAAAGUGAAUAAAUUCAACCAAGCGCAUGUAAAUGGAUAGAUACUUCAAUCCUUAGAAUCCUUGAGUUUGCAGCGAGGAUCAAGCUCAGGAAGGAUAGAGACUUGGAGAAGUUCAGAGCAAAGACAAGGUUUUGAAGUCACCUCGUGGAAUCAAGCUCAGAAGGGUGGAUGCCAAGUUAUUUGGAAAGGAAUUGUCAAGAGUCUAAAUAGAUGGUGGAAAUUCCCAUAGGGAGAAACACCGAUUUCCGUGGACCGUUGGAUCUAGUAGAUCUGCGGGGAAGAUAAGGGCGAGAGUCUUUCAACACUUGUAAGCUUAG
rnacentral:ncRNA from 1 species